UCCUCAUCCUAUCCUCAUCCUCAUUCUCAUUCUCGUCCUCAUCCUAUCCUCUUCCUCUUCCUCAUAGGACAGGAUGAGGAUGACGAUGUGGAUGAGGAUGAGGAUAGGAUGAGGAUGAGGAUGAGGAUAUGGAUGAGGAUGAGGAUGAGGCUGACGCUGAGGAUGAGGA
rnacentral:pre_miRNA from 1 species